rnacentral:rRNA from 1 species
UGGGGAAUCUUGCACAAUGGGGGAAACCCUGAUGCAGCGACGCCGCGUGAGCGAUGAAGGUUUUCGAAUCGUAAGCUCUGUCCUAUGGGAAGAUAAUGACGGUACCAUAGGAGGAAGCCCCGGCUAACUACGUGCCAGCAGCCGCGGUAAUACGUAGGGGGCGAGCGUUGUCCGGAAUUACUGGGCGUAAAGGGUUCGCAGGCGGCAUGACAAGUCCGAUGUAAAAGGCGAAAGCUCAACUUUCGUAAGCAUCGGAAACUGUCAAGCUUGAGUGAAGGAGAGGCAAGUGGAAUUCCUAGUGUAGCGGUGGAAUGCGUAGAUAUUAGGAGGAAUACCGGUGGCGAAGGCGACUUGCUGGACUUCAACUGACGCUGAGGAACGAAAGCGUGGGUAGCAAACAGG